GAUGAACGCUGGCGGCGUGCCUAAUACAUGCAAGUCGAGCGAACGGACGAGAAGCUUGCUUCACUGAUGUUAGCGGCGGACGGGUGAGUAACACGUGGAUAACCUACCUAUAAGACUGGGAUAACUUCGGGAAACCGGAGCUAAUACCGGAUAAUAUUUUGAACCGCAUGGUUCAAAAGUGAAAGACGGUCUUGCUGUCACUUAUAGAUGGAUCCGCGCUGCAUUAGCUAGUUGGUAAGGUAACGGCUUACCAAGGCAACGAUGCAUAGCCGACCUGAGAGGGUGAUCGGCCACACUGGAACUGAGACGCGGUCCAGACUCCUACGGGAGGCAGCAGUAGGGAAUCUUCCGCAAUGGGCGAAAGCCUGACGGAGCAACGCCGCGUGAGUGAUGAAGGUCUUCGGAUCGUAAAACUCUGUUAUUAGGGAAGAACAUAUGUGUAAGUAACUGUGCACAUCUUGACGGUACCUAAUCAGAAAGCCACGGCUAACUACGUG
rnacentral:rRNA from 1 species